CCCACGCGCCCCAGCCAUCGACACUCCAAAAUUACGCCCACUUCCCCCAUUGACCAUCUGCUUCUCCACCGAACACGCCGCUGCCGAAGACAUCCGCAGGUUCAGCGACCUCCGCUGCGCCCUUGUCCUCCACCCUCUGGCAUGGCUUCGACGGUAACCCGAUCUUCUACAACGCAGGACAACUAGCCCCCUCCCCUCUCGUCUGCAACUAUGCAUGCGGUGGCGACUUGCAACGUUGCGGCUGCCGUCAUGACUAGCGCUAGGCUUCCCCACCAAUCCCAAUCCGUUCAUAGAGAAGAAUGGAUUGUGAGGCGGCAGCGUCAGACGUUUAUGUAGUGCAAAAAGAUCCACAGGAACCCUGCUGCACAGCCACCUUAUGAUGUCCAUGCACACCCAAAGCGAGUUUCAGGCACAUCGUGCCUAGCCUGCAACUUUAAGUACUAUUCCGGUAUUCCUCAAUUUUUCUUCAACGCCUGAUGCUUGAAAUGUUUUUUCGCCGGUAAGUUCUUCCUUUCUCAGAUUUGCAUUUUGGGUUGGUGAGCCUUGAGCUUUAAAAUACACUUCAGUUUGCAGUCAUGUCCAAUUUUUAUCAUUGUGUGCAGCAUGACAGCAAACAAACACUUCACAUUGACUUAAAGUUAUCCGAUUGCUGGGUGGCAUGCAGCUCCUGGUGAUCCUGGAGAUGCCAAUGGCCUGUGCUGCAAUCAGGGUCUCGUCGGGCAGCAAGCACUGGAACUCGUACUACCACCACAUGAAUGAGGUCGGGAAAAUGAAAUGUGCUCCAAAGAGCUUCAGCUUAGAGGAAAAGCAAAGUGAACAAGAUAGUUGCAUUUUGGAUUGUUUUUAUUUGUCAUAUGCAUCACGAGAUACAAGUAAAUACAAAUAAUUGUCAUCCGAGCAGCCACUCGCUUUCUGCAUCACACUAAACCUAUGUUUGUGUUACAUCAUUCUAAGGCAUUGUUGUAAUUCCGGUAUAUUAACUUCUAGUAAACUGUACAUCAUCAUUUUAUAGUAACUCGAUCACGCCAUAUUAU